rnacentral:rRNA from 1 species
AACGAACGCUGGCGGCAGGCCUAAAACAUGCAAGUCGAACGAACCUUCGGGUUAGUGGCGCACGGGUGAGUAACGCGUGGGAAUAUGCCCUUCACUGCGGAACAACGUCGGGAAACUGACGCUAAUACCGCAUAAUGACUCCGGUCCAAAGAUUUAUCGGUGAAGGAUUAGCCCGCGUCUGAUUAGCUAGUUGGUGAGGUAAUGGCUCACCAAGGCGACGAUCAGUAGGGGGUCUGAGAGGAUGAUCCCCCACACUGGAACUGAGACACGGUCCAGACUCCUACGGGAGGCAGCAGUUAGGAAUAUUGGACAAUGGGGGAAACCCUGAUCCAGCCAUGCCGCGUGUGUGAAGAAGGCCUUAGGGUUGUAAAGCACUUUCAGCUGUGAAGAUAAUGACAGUAGCAGAAGAAGAAGCUCCGGCUAAAUUCGUGCCAGCCGCCGCGGUAA